rnacentral:rRNA from 1 species
UACAGAGGGGCAAGCGUUGUUCGGAAUUACUGGGCGUAAAGGGCGCGUAGGCGGCCCGCUAAGUCGAACGUGAAAUCCCCGGGCUCAACCCGGGAACUGCGUCCGAUACUGGCGGGCUUGAAUCCGGGAGAGGGAUGCGGAAUUCCAGGUGUAGCGGUGAAAUGCGUAGAUAUCUGGAGGAACACCGGUGGCGAAGGCGGCAUCCUGGACCGGCAUUGACGCUGAGGCGCGAAAGCCAGGGGAGCAAACGGGG